UACGUAGGGGGCGAGCGUUGUCCGGAUUUAUUGGGCGUAAAGAGCGUGUAGGCGGCCAGGUAGGUCUGCUGUGAAAACUCGAGGCUCAACCUCGAGACGUCGGCGGAAACCAUCUGGCUAGAGUCCGGAAGAGGAGAGUGGAAUUCCUGGUGUAGCGGUGAAAUGCGCAGAUAUCAGGAAGAACACCCGUGGCGAAGGCGGCUCUCUGGGACGGUACUGACGCUGAGGCGCGAAAGCCAGAGGAGCAAACGGG
rnacentral:rRNA from 1 species